rnacentral:misc_RNA from 1 species
GUAACAAGGUUUCCGUAGGUGAACCUGCGGAAGGAUCAUUACAGAAUGAAAAGUGCUUAACUGCAUUUUUUCUUACACAUGUGUUUUUCUUUUUUUGAAAACUUUGCUUUGGUAGGCCUUCUAUAUGGGGCCUGCCAGAGAUUAAACUCAACCAAAUUUUAUUUAAUGUCAACCGAUUAUUUAAUAGUCAAAACUUUCAACAACGGAUCUCUUGGUUCUCGCAUCGAUGAAGAACGCAGCGAAAUGCGAUAAGUAAUAUGAAUUGCAGAUAUUCGUGAAUCAUCGAAUCUUUGAACGCACAUUGCGCCCUUUGGUAUUCCAAAGGGCAUGCCUGUUUGAGCGUCAUUUCUCCCUCAAACCCUCGGGUUUGGUGUUGAGCGAUACGCUGGGUUUGCUUGAAAGAAAGGCGGAGUAUAAACUAAUGGAUAGGUUUUUUCCACUCAUUGGUACAAACUCCAAAACUUCUUCCAAAUUCGACCUCAAAUCAGGUAGGACUACCCGCUGAACUUAAGCAUAUC